GAGAUCUUGCACUGUUAGACAUUUCCAAGGGUUUUUACAGUAACUAACUGGCAACACUUGGAGGUCAAACAAAGGAAAAAUUGGUUUGAAUAACAUAAGGGUGGCAUUACGUUGAGGUGUGCAUACUGUGUGUCUUUGAAAAGAUGGGUCACAAGUGUUGGCACCUGCAUCUGCCGCUUACCAUUUUUAUAUUACUGUGGAGUUCGGCGGGUGCGCAGCAUAUCAACAGUAUAACACCCAACAGUGGCGGCAUCAAUGGAGGAACAAGACUGACCAUAAACGGGGAAGGUUUUGCUGAAGUCAGUCAGUUCGGUGUAAAUGUAGACGACCCAAUCAAUGGCAACAAUGUGACUUUGGUGUCUCAGAUGAGAUCGAUUCCCUGUGAUGUCGAAAACGAUUCCAGUCACUUCAAACAGAUUGUGU